rnacentral:rRNA from 1 species
UACGUAGGUGGCAAGCGUUGCUCGGAUUUACUGGGCGAAAGGAUGCGUAGGCGGACAUUUAAGUCAGAUGUGAAAUACCCGAGCUUAACUUGGGUGCUGCAUUUGAAACUGGGUGUCUAGAGUGCAGGAGAGGUAAGUGGAAUUCCUAGUGUAGCGGUGAAAUGCGUAGAGAUUAGGAAGAACACCAGUGGCGAAGGCGACUUACUGGACUGUAACUGACGCUGAGGCAUGAAAGCGUGGGGAGCAAACAGG